rnacentral:rRNA from 1 species
GACGAACGCUGGCGGCGUGCUUAACACAUGCAAGUCGAACGAAAAGAGGGAAAGAGCUUGCUCUUUCCGGAAUUGAGUGGCAAACGGGUGAGUAACACGUAAACAACCUGCCUUCAGGAUGGGGACAACAGACGGAAACGACUGCUAAUACCGAAUAAGUUCCAAGAGCCGCAUGGCCCAUGGAAGAAAAGGUGGCCUCUACCUGUAAGCUAUCGCCUGAAGAGGGGUUUGCGUCUGAUUAGCUGGUUGGAGGGGUAACGUCCCACCAAGGCGACGAUCAGUAGCCGGUCUGAGAGGAUGAACGGCCACACUGGAACUGAGACACGGUCCAGACUCCUACGGGAGGCAGCAGUGGGGAAUCUUCCGCAAUGGGCGAAAGCCUGACGGAGCAACGCCGCGUGAGUGAUGACGGCCUUCGGGUUGUAAAACUCUGUGAUCCGGGACGAAAAGGCAGAGUGCGAAGAACAAACUGCAUUGACGGUACCGGAAAAGCAAGCCACGGCUAACUACGUG